UGCCUCUUGGCCCCACAUAAGAGGUAACUCCUGCCCAGUGAAAGAAUUUCAACGGCCGCGGUAUCCUAACCGUGCAAAGGUAGCAUAAUCACUUGUCUAUUAAUUGUAGACUAGAAUGAAAGGAUAAACGAAAUAAGAGCUGUCUCUACUAGAUUCCUAUAAUUUAUAAUCUAGACGAAGAUAUCUAGAUAAGAGUGGAGGACAAGAAGACCCUAUAGAGCUUUAUCUUGAAAGAAAAAACAACUUUUUUUAUAGAUUCGGUUGGGGCGACCAAGGGAAACUAAUCACCCUUAAAUUUAUAGAUCAAUAAAUCUAGCAUAUGACCCUUAUUUAAGAGCAUAAAAACAAGCUACCUUAGGGAUAACAGGCUAAUCCUAUUAAAGAGUCCUUAUCUAUAAUGGGGGUUGGCACCUCGAUGUUGGCUUAGGGUAUCUCUAUGGCGCAAAAGUCAUAAAAAGAUGGUUUGUUCAACCUUCAAUUCCCU
rnacentral:rRNA from 1 species